rnacentral:rRNA from 1 species
GACGAACGCUGGCGGCGUGCUUAACACAUGCAAGUCGAACGGAAAGGCCCUGCUUUUGUGGGGUGCUCGAGUGGCGAACGGGUGAGUAACACGUGAGUAACCUGCCCUUGACUUUGGGAUAACUUCAGGAAACUGGGGCUAAUACCGGAUAGGAGCUCCUGCUGCAUGGUGGGGGUUGGAAAGUUUCGGCGGUUGGGGAUGGACUCGCGGCUUAUCAGCUUGUUGGUGGGGUAGUGGCUUACCAAGGCUUUGACGGGUAGCCGGCCUGAGAGGGUGACCGGCCACAUGGGGACUGAGAUACGGCCCAGAAUCCUACGGGAGGCAGCAGUGGGGAAAAUGGAAAAAUGGGCGGAAGCCUGAUGCAGCAACGCCGCGUGCGGGAUGACGGCCUUCGGGUUGUAAACCGCUUUCGCCUGUGACGAAGCGUGAGUGACGGUAAUGGGUAAAGAAGCACCGGCUAACUACGUG